UACGGGGGGAGCAAGCGUUGCUCGGAUUUACUGGGCGUAAAGGGCGCGUAGGCGGCCACCGCAAGUCGACUGUGAAAUCUCCGGGCUUAACCCGGAAAGGUCAGCCGAUACUGCGGGGCUAGAGUGCAGAAGGGGCAACUGGAAUUCUCGGUGUAGCGGUGAAAUGCGUAGAUAUCGAGAGGAACACCUGCGGCGAAGGCGGGUUGCUGGGCUGACACUGACGCUGAUGCGCGAAAGCUAGGGGAGCGAACGGG
rnacentral:rRNA from 1 species